GGCCGCCUGGCGAAAUGGCAUCGCGUCUGACUACGAAUUCUUUCGCGGAAUCAGGAGAUUGCAGGUUCGAGACCUGCGGUGGUCA